AAAGAAUCAUCUCGCACAAGAUGUCAAUAGCACCAAGAAUGAAGUAGAAGACUGCUCUCCUAUAGCAAAAAAUCUUCUACAGCAACAGCAAUGAAGAUCCAAAAGGGUGACGACCUAAGACAAUCUGCCCCCAGCCUUGAGAAUACUAGCUGGAAAGUGUGGGGGAGAAGUGACUUUGGCAAGAGUACUUCUGCUCACAGACAAAACAGGAAGUAGCUUCCUCCCCUAAAGAAAGCUAGCUCUUCCAGGGAGUGUGAAAGCCUACGUUACCUUUUGCGAAUUCAAGAGUUGGUCUCAUUGUGCCAAAAACUUAAAAUAGAUUCCACAACUGAAGGUUUCUAAAGUUGCUAUACUUUUUGAAGAACAUCUCAUGGGAAAAAGUUUAUUUAGGCAAAAAACAGACAGUUUUCUCCAGUCAUAAAAGAUUUAUUGUGUGAGAGACUUGCUAUACCAGAGACUGGAGAUACUGUAACAAAAUUCAUCUGCCACAAAAAUGUACAACUACUUUCAAAGAUAAUGAAAAAUUCACAGCUCAGUUUUUUCUUUAACAGAAUUGGUAUCAUUUUCAAGUAGAGUAAGAAGGCAUAUGUUCUUCAGUUUUAAUGUGGAAAAGAAAAGCGUUUUAUUUUUCUGUGA
rnacentral:lncRNA from 1 species